CAGUAGCCGCGGGAAUACGUAGGUGGCAAGCGUUAUCCGGAAUUAUUGGGCGUAAAGCGCGCGUAGGCGGUUUCUUAAGUCUGAUGUGAAAGCCCACGGCUCAACCGUGGAGGGUCAUUGGAAACUGGGAAACUUGAGUGCAGAAGAGGAAAGUGGAAUUCCAUGUGUAGCGGUGAAAUGCGCAGAGAUAUGGAGGAACACCAGUGGCGAAGGCGACUUUCUGGUCUGUAACUGACGCUGAUGUGCGAAAGCGUGGGGAUCAAACAGGAUUAGAUACCCCUGUAGUCCCUGUCUCUUAUAC
rnacentral:rRNA from 1 species